rnacentral:SRP_RNA from 1 species
GCCAGGCGUGGUGGCGAGUGCCUAUAGUCCCAGCUACUCAGGAGGCUGAGGCUGGAGGAUCGCUUGAGUCCAGGAGUUCUGGGCUGUAGUGCGCUAUGCCGAUCGGGUGUCCACACUAAGUUUGGCAUCAGUAUGGUGACUUCCUGGGAGCCGGGGACCACCAGGUUGCCUAAGGAGGGGUGAACCAGCCCAGGUCAGAAAUGGAGCAGGUCAAAAUUCCCGUGCUGAUCAAUAGUGGGAUCGCGCCUGUGAAUAGCCACUACACUCCAGCCUGGGCAACAUAGCGAAACCCUGUCUCU